rnacentral:rRNA from 1 species
UACGAAGGGGGCUAGCGUUGCUCGGAAUCACUGGGCGUAAAGCGCACGUAGGCGGCUUUCUAAGUCAGGGGUGAAAUCCUGGAGCUCAACUCCAGAACUGCCUUUGAUACUGGAGAGCUUGAGUCCGGAAAGAGGUGAGUGGAACUCCGAGUGUAGAGGUGAAAUUCGUAGAUAUUCGGAAGAACACCAGUGGCGAAAGGCGGCUCACUUGGUCCGGUACUGACGCUGAUGUGC